CAAACAUGAAACAAUGAAAGCCAAUUCUUUUUUCCAAACAUAUCAACUCCCUGAUCAAGAGACAAGACCAUUUUCAUAACUGGAACAAUGAAUCAGAGGAAGCUAUUGAAUCCGCCAUAACUGGAGCACAAUUCAAGCUCAGAUUCUUCACAAUUUACUGACUUUCAAUGGAAUUCGAAGCCAUAAAACACCUUCAAUCUCUUAUGCCAAGACAAUAGCUGAAACCCUCAAAUCUAAGCCAAUUUGUGCCACACAAAAUUGAUAGAAAUGGUUUAAGUACUUACAGCUUCGGUAACGCACUGGCUUCUUUAGACUCGCUCCACAGUCCUCGCGUUGAAACCAAACCACCGUCUUCCUCUUCCGAUUAUCGUCAUGAAUUUUGGGGGAAACAACAAUUUUCCAGAAGAAAUCAAUAUAUGGGAUCGGAGAGACUGAUCGACACUGAGAGAGAUUGAGAUUGAUAGAAGAACAAGAUAGAUCGAGGGUGAGAAGAGGUGACGAAGAGGAAGAAAGAACCUUUUUUUUGUUAUUUCAGAUUUUGCUUCAACAAAUAUUUUUAAUAUUUCUGUCAACC
rnacentral:lncRNA from 1 species